rnacentral:rRNA from 1 species
GACGAACUGUGCAAACGUUAUUCGGAAUCACUGGGCUUGAAGAGUGCGUAGGCGGUUUCGUAAGUAGGGUGUGAAAGCCCCCAGCUCAACUGGGGAACUGCGUCCUAAACUGCGAGGGCUGGAGUGAGGUAGGGGUGUGUGGAACUUCCGGUGGAGCGGUGAAAUGUGUUGAUAUCGGAAGGAACGCCGGUGGCGAAAGCGACACACUGGGCCUUGUCUGACGCUGAGGCACGAAAGCCAGGGGAGCAAACGGG